CUGUUUUUUUAAAGCGAGUUUGACGUCUGUGUUGUGAAAAAUUUUUUGUGUAUUUUUUGUUUUGUUUAUAAUUUUAUAUAAACUUAAGUUUUAUUUGAAAUAUUGAAAUUGAAAAUUCAAACUAAAAUUCAAUUUGGAACUGAAGUUUGAGUACUUGCCAAAUUUCUCACGCAGUGGAGUGUACUACAAAGAGCACCUAAAUCAGAAAAAAUAAGUUGUUUCGAGACUUACUCAAUGAUAUGAAGACAAGACCGGAUAUAAAUUUUCAAUCAAAAAUCAAAAAUCAAAAGUUUUGGCAAAAUUAAAUCGAUGCAUUUUGAUGGUCGACAAGACUUACAUAAAAUGUGACAGUUAGUCGACUUCCUGGUGACAAAUAUUAUACUUCAGUUUUUCGUGGCGGCGCAGUGUACUACAAAGAGCACCUAAAUCAGAAAAAAUAAGUUGUUUCGAGACUUACUCAAUGAUAUGACGACAAGACCGGAUAUAAAUUUUCAAUCAAAAAUCUGAAUAUCUAUUUGCAACCAUUACUAAUAAAACAUUAAAAAAAAAUAUCUAUGUCACAAUUUGUACAUAAAAUAAGAAUUCAUGGUGCUUCCUUUAUUGGAUAUUUUAAUUAUCGUCGGGUAGGUUCUUUGUCUGAGAGUCCCUAUUGAAGCCAGAAACAAGAAAAACAAAACUGCACGAGUUAGUCAUGCAUGUCUAACUUUCUUGGUAGUAAACACUAGGAAUACAGCUAAAUAUUUGUUUGUGACAUUUGAUAUGUACCUUUAUGAAGUGUUUUUUUGAUAUUAUGCUAAUGUGAAUAGUUUUGACUAUUUUUGUUAGAAUAUUUUUGUAAUUUUUUUUGUUGUUGAUGUAAAGAAA